rnacentral:lncRNA from 1 species
CAGUGGUGCAGCUCAGAGUAACGGAACACGAAAAUGAAAGUGAAAGUAGAAAUGAACUCUGAGCAACACAAGAAAAGAAUGAAACAUGAUACAUAUAAACCUAUCAUCCUUAUCUCCUACCCUUAGGCAUAACAAUAUGGUUGGACCCCCUUUAUCCUGGGUUGGGAACCCCCCUUUUUAAAAUGGCUGGAUCCGCCCCUGCUUAUAUAUAACUGAGAGAAUAAUGGGGUGCUUAUAGAUACCUGAGAAUAGAGAAUAACAGGCAAAUUUAUAAAGAAUAGAGAAAAAUGGUAUAAAAAAUUACAGAAUACAGAAAUGAAGGACCCUUCCCCCACCUCCCCCCCCCCCAAUCCAG